CGUUAGCGGCGGACGGGUGAGUAACACGUGGGUAACCUACCUAUAAGACUGGGACAACUUCGGGAAACCGGAGCUAAUACCGGAUAAGAUAUCGAACCGCAUGGUUCGAUAGUGAAAGANGGUUUUGCUAUCACUUAUAGAUGGACCCGCGCCGUAUUAGCUAGUUGGUGAGGUAACGGCUCACCAAGGCAACGAUACGUAGCCGACCUGAGAGGGUGAUCGGCCACACUGGAACUGAGACACGGUCCAGACUCCUACGGGAGGCAGCAGUU
rnacentral:rRNA from 1 species